CAAAGCUGGAGUCUUCCUUUGCACUGGUUGAGAAGGUAUAUUGUGCAGAGAACAAUGCUCAGGGAAGUGUCUUUCCAUCUCUUUGCUUUGAUCUGCAGAUGAAGACCUAUCUUGGCAGUCUUCAAUUCUUUGAGAUGUUGAAUAAUCCUUGCAUCAGGUAACAUUCCCUGCACAUUCUGCCUGUCAACUGGCAGUCGUCUUUACAGAUUUACUCUGGUUUAAAAAGCGGUAAUUCGUCAUCAUAGCUAUGGCUGCAGCAAGGAAAGGUUCAAGUACCUCCCCUCCCGAUGGCGGAUGGGGGUGGGUGAUUGUGAUUGGCUGCUUCCUUGUUACGAUCUGCACUCGAGCUGUGACCAGAUGUAUCUCAAUUUUUUUUGUGGAGUUCCAGACUUACUUUGCACAAGAUUAUGCCCGGACAGCUUGGAUCCAUUCCAUUGUAGACUGUGCUACUAUGU